AAUGUCUGGCACGGACCUCUCCGUCACCCCCACACUAUUGACAGCUGCAACAACGUGUUGCCACUCUUCUGUUUUCCGUUUGUUGAUGAUUCCACUACCGAGGCCGCUAAAUAAUAUGUUUUUGCGAGCCUCCACCUCACCAACAAGUACCUCCACCUCCGUCUCCGUAAAAUUACGCUUCCUCGUCUUUUCGGUUGCCAUGAUUUAGGUUUAAAUAGCAGAGAUCAGCUGGUUCAUUUAUAUGCAGAAAUGUCCAUGAGGUGCUUUGCAUUGACCAUUUAUAGUAGAAUGUGGGCGUGUAGGGGGCGGGCUAGCAGCAGAAUUCACUUGCGCAAGCUUUCAGGCAGAGUGUGAUUUAUAAAGGGAAAAUUGCUUGCACCUGUGCGCACGCACGGUUUUAUAAAUCAGAAUAUUUUGUUGCUUACGCAAACUCUGGAUUCUUGGCGGACGUCCACUUUUAGUAGGAAUCCUACGCAGAGUUUUAUAAAUGAGCACCCAGGUGUGGAGUUACACAGA